UAUGUACUCCCUCCGUCCGGAAUUACUUGUCAUCAAAAUGGAUGUGUCUAGAACUAAAAUACAUCUAGAUACAUCCAUUUCAAUGACAAAUAUUUCCGGACGGAGGGAGUACACC
rnacentral:pre_miRNA from 1 species